UUCCGCCUUUGUUGUCUUGUUUCUUUCUUGCAUUAUCUCAUUAAAAACGCAUAUAAAAGAAAGAAAAUAUUCUUCAACCACUUUCUUUUUCUUCACAAUCUUACAACAUCCUCAUCCUCCGGGUGCACCUGGAAGAUCUUUUCAUCACUGAAACUGAAGUUUUUAGAUCUAAGCUUCAGCUCUCCUCUACUGGUGGUCAGCUCAUCCAGUAUCUCAGCAUCACAUGAAUCGAAAUCAGCAUUCUCCAUUGAUUCCUUGAAUGAGAGACCACGACUACGUUUUGGAGCUCCCUCAAUUUCCUCAUAUUCAGCGGCAUCCAACUCUUGAAGGUAAGCCAUGGGAAAGAUUUUGGGAAGGAUAUGCUGUCUUAUGCUUAUAAGCAGAAAGAAUGGCAAGGGGAACAAUAUUCCAGCAAGAGGUAUCCAAGUUAUUCCAAAGCAAACCAGAAGAUAUACCAGCUGCAAGAGUGUAAAAAUAGCAAUGUAGUUGAAGGGAACCCUCUCCACAUAAGAAGCAUGCGCUGUUUCCAAAAUCCUGUGUCGCCGGCUAGGAGUAAUGAAAAGCAGUAGCAAUCUUUCCCAGAACUGGCUCCCAGGAAGACUAUCAAUGGCCAUGUAGGCAAAAUAUCCCCAGAGUACUGAUGUAGGUAUCUUCUUGAUUAUAGGCAUGCCCAUUAAUGAUACGCCCACAAGAAGUGAUUGUAAAAAGUUGCUAAGUCUUUGUUCAUUAACUCGCACAGGCAAGAAAGCAUCAAUAUGCUUUUCAGGAUCAAAGGAUGCACUUGAGUUACCUCCAUCCUCACCUAUAACUGCACUCCUCAAAUCCUUGAGCUCUUUAGCUGCUGAAGGUGCUGGAGUUUUCUCUGUUUCUAUGAAUACCUCCAGCAUCCUGCCAUAAAUUUCAGAUUUGGUUGCAUUAAGUUUCAUGCAUUCCUUGGCACCUUUUACCAUCUUCUUUCUUAUCAACUGUCUAUUGAGCACAGCUAGACUCUUGGUGUGCAUGGGAGAUUGUGGGAGCACUCCAUUGGAGGGAGGAAGUCCAAGUAAUCCACAGAUCAAAGUCAAAACCCCGAGGAUUAAGAUAUCAUAAUGGUAAGCAGAGGGUUUCUUGAGAUUAAAAUCGUUCUGCUGUGCCAUUUGUGAAGCCACACUAUGGUCAAAAAAAUAAAGACCCGCAACCAUGACAGCAGGUAUGAAGGCAGCAAAUAUAUAUGCUGGGGGGACCUUAACCAUGUCCUUGAUUACAGUCCAGUGCUCCAAGGAAGCAGAGUCCCAAGGAAGAGGAGUUUGAAGCCUCCUAGGAACUCCAGAAGGAACAUUGCCUGGUACGCUAAAUGACAAUG
rnacentral:misc_RNA from 1 species